UCAGGAACUAUUUCCAGGGCAAAUGCUAAGUUAUUUAUGCAAUUUAAAAGUUAAAACAAUUUAAAACUUUCAUACACAUACAGAGCUAUAAUUACUUGGCCUCUUUUCUAUUUAUGUACAUGACACCGUUCUAUAGAAUUGUGGAUUCUUUCUUGUUACAUAUUAAGACAAACUUUCAUUCUACAAUUUAAGAUCUAAUCUGUAAAACUGGGUACUUCUCAUCACCUACAUAUAAUAUUCAGUUCUAAACUAUUAAAAUAGCUAGAGCUUCCUAUCUUUGAUUCCUUAAAUAAGCUCAAUUAAGCUAUUCUUAUAAUCCCAUAUUCCAGAACUAACUUAACCUUUCGUCCUCGUUUUCAUUAACCUCUCAAACUUCCAAAAUUUCGAUCAAGGAACUCGGAAAAAAAAACAAAGAUGCAGAUAACUAUGAGGUUAGACAUAUCAUACUUACUCUUGUCCCUUAAAUUUUCAUAAUU
rnacentral:lncRNA from 1 species